UUUGAGCCUUGGUGAUCACCUGGAGAGCUUACCAAUGUCAUUUCAGUACAUUCAGUAUCUGGUUAGCUUCCUCGUCUGUAAGGGAUCUGCCCUGCUCUGUCUACUUGGUGGGAUGGCUGUGUUGAACCGAGGGGAUCCUGCACUUGAAGGUGCCUUGGAACUGCUAAGUGAUGUGCAAAUGCCAUUUGGAGCACUUACCAGCAAAAAGCAGAAUCGCAACCGAAGACAGACGUCCAUGGGGACGUGGAGUGGUGGUGGACAGUGGAGAGCCUCCCCCGUGGGCCCCAGGGCAUGGGUGAGAAUGGCUAACAGGACUAGGCUCUAGGCCUUUAGAUCCCACUGAUGGCAAAAUAAGAAAGGAGCCCAGCUGAACCCUUAACUUAAAAAAAAAAAUUCUCUACUAGUAACACAAAACAGUCCGCUUCACUCAACACAUAAAGAACUUUUACUGAUGACUGUGAAAAAUCACAAUACCACAAUUGAAAAGUCUAAGACAAUUCACAAGAAUUAGUAGAAAUAACCAACAUGCACUUGA